CUCAGAAUCAAUCUUUAUCACAAGCUUAACUAUAAUUAUAACAUUGAGAAAGAGAU
rnacentral:pre_miRNA from 1 species